CAACUCGUCGGCGACUUUUGAUUCUCGACGACGAUGACGAUUCAAACGGGCGGGUGGUUGAAUUGUGUUGCUCAGAAGAUGAAAUCGAAAGAAGAAGAAGAUGGUUUUAAGUUUUUAAGGUUAUUUAACAGAGAAAGAAGAUGAAAUCGAAAGAAGAAGAAGAUGGUUUCAGAUCUGGUUCGGGAGAUUUGACAGAGAAAGAAGAAGAUGGUUUUAAAUUGUUAAUGUUUUGGGAUAUGGUAAUUUUUGAAGAAGUUGAAGAGGGUUUGAAGAUUGAGCAAUGAGCAAGAAAGAAUUUAUGGAUAUUUCGGAUAUGAUAAUUUUUGAAGAAGUCGUCUUUGUAUUUUUUUGGUGCUGUUUUUUAAUACUAUUAUUUUUGUGCAAAUUACAUUCAUGUUC
rnacentral:lncRNA from 1 species